rnacentral:rRNA from 1 species
UACAGAGGGGUGCAAGCGUUGUUCGGAAUUACUGGGCGUAAAGCGCGCGUAGGUGGUUUUGCAAGUCGAGUGUGAAAGCCCUGGGCUCAACCUGGGAACUGCAUUCGAGACUGCAUUACUCGAGUAUGGGAGAGGGCAGUGGAAUUUCCGGUGUAGCGGUGAAAUGCGUAGAUAUCGGAAGGAACAUCAGUGGCGAAAGCGACUGCCUGGCCCAAUACUGACGCUCAUGUGCGAAAGCGUGGGGAGCAAACAGG